rnacentral:sRNA from 1 species
GCUGGGCGUGGUGGCUCACGCCUGUAAUCCCAGCACUUUGGGAGGCUGAGGUGGGCAGAUCACGUGAGGUCAGGAGUUCGAGACCAGCCUGGCCAACAUAGUGAAACCCCAUCUUACUAAAAAUACAAAAAUUAGCCAUGGGGCUGGGCACAGUGGCUCACACCUGUAAUCCCAGCACUUUGGGAGGCAGAGGUGGGCAGAUCACUUAAGGUCAGGAGUUCAAGACCAGCCUGGCCAACAUGGUGAAACCCCAUCUCU